rnacentral:rRNA from 1 species
UACGUAGGGGGCAAGCGUUGUCCGGAUUUAUUGGGCGUAAAGAGCGUGUAGGCGGCCAGAUAGGUCCGUUGUGAAAACUCGAGGCUCAACCUCGAGACGCCGAUGGAAACCAUCUGGCUAGAGUCCGGAAGAGGAGAGUGGAAUUCCUGGUGUGAGCGGUGGAAAUGACGCAGAUAUCAGGAGGAACACCGGUGGCGAAGGCGGGUCUCUGGGCCGAUACUGACGCUGAGGAGCGAAAGCGUGGGGAGCGAACAGG